CCCCUCCUGCAUGGAGGUUGGCACCAGGUGGCUGCCUCAGCACUAGUUUUCAUUGCUCAGCCAGGUGGCUCUUGCUGGAGCUAGCUGCUGUGAGCUUCUGAGUCAGAAAUGACACAAAUGCUGCUGUGAACAAUGCAUUCUGGUCUGCAG